rnacentral:lncRNA from 1 species
AUAGCUAGCAUGAGCCCUGGCUAUAAAGGCCCAAACUUUCGUAAUCUUCGUGGUUAUUUGUUGGCUAAAAAUGUCGAGGAAGUACAGAAUUAUGUAGAAAGCUAUCGUUCAACAUGGAAGACGACUGGUUGUACAAUUAUGCCAGAUGAUUGGACAGAUCAAUGUAGAAGAACUCUUAUUAAUUUUUUAGUUUAUUGUCCAAAAGAAACGAUAUUUUUAAAAUCCGUAGAUGCUUUAGAUGAAUCAAAAAGUGCUGACAUGUUAUACAAGUUAUUUCGAGGUGUUGUGUUAUUUGUAGGUUCA